rnacentral:rRNA from 1 species
AUCGCUUUCUGUGCUUUAUAGAAAGUUUGGCCUGCUCACUGAGAGGGGUUAAAGAGCUGCAGUAUUAUAACUGUACAAAGGUAGCAUAAUCAUUAGUCUUUUGAUUGAAGACUGGGAUGAAGGGUUGGACAAGAAGAUAUUAAUUUAUUGUUUAGCACCCGAAAUUUACUUUUUUGUAAAAAGGCAAAAAUGAAAAUAAGCGACAAGAAGACCCUUUAAGCUUUAUUUCUAACUGUAAUGGGUUAAGGUUAGAGGUUUUGCUGGGGCGGCAGUUAUAAAAACAUUAAUUAAAUUAAAUAGCCUAUAAAUAGCUUUAUAGAAUUUGGUCCUAAGAGGGGACAAAAGGAAAAGCUACUAAAGGGAUAACAGCGUGAUGUAUUUUAAAAGUUCUUAUUGACAAAUAUGUUUGCGA